CUGAAGUGAAACAUACCGUUUUAUUAUAUCAAGUGCCAUGUCGUUUAUGUAUCCACCUUCUAUGAGACCAGGAUUAACAUUAAAAAUUAUUGA